GGAGAUGUAGCAUAGAUGGUAAAAGGUUUGCUUAGUAUGCGAGAGGUCACAGGUUCGAUCCCUCAUGUUUUUA